rnacentral:rRNA from 1 species
UGGGGAAUAUUGGGCAAUGGACGCAAGUCUGACCCAGCAACGCCGCGUGAAGGAAGAAGGCUUUCGGGUUGUAAACUUCUUUUAACAGGGAAGAGUAGAAGACGGUACCUGUUGAAUAAGGAUCAGCUAACUCCGUGCCAGCAGCCGCGGUAAUACGGAGGAUGCAAGCGUUAUCCGGAUUUAUUGGGUUUAAAGGGUGCGUAGGCUGUUAUGUAAGUCAGCGGUGAAAUACCUAAGCUCAACUUAGGGGCUGCCGUUGAUACUGCAUAGCUGGAAUAUGGUUGCUGUUGGCGGAAUGUGUAGUGUAGCGGUGAAAUGCAUAGAUAUUACACAGAACACCUAUUGCGAAGGCAGCUGACAAAACCAUUAUUGACGCUGAGGCACGAAAGUGUGGGGAUCAAACA